GUCAUUAUUCAUUAUAAACACUUCAAUUCAAAAUUAUAACAAUAUUUAUAAUUUAUAUCAAAAUAUAGAUACUAAUAUAAUGAUUACAUAUAGCAGCUACCUACUAACUCGAAUUUAAAAAUAAAUUAUGUAAUUAUUGUAUAAUAAGUUAUAAAAAUGUCAGACGAUCGAGUCAUUAACGUGACUAAUUGCACGAUAUACGUCGGACGUGUACGGAUCAUUCUCGAAUCACAUCCAAACGUUGAUGAGGUCGCUAAUGGUGUGAUCGAGACAUCGCGUUCAGCCGAAGACCCGCAAGACGACCCCGUCACGAAUGCGCCUAAAAAACAGACGGAUUUCGUUAGCCACUGUAGUACAAAGCCUCUCGACCAGCGUCAACUCUGCACCGAACCGUACGCGGCUCACCCAAAAAUAACAUCGGCCGGCCCGACAAGUCAGCCGUCGGUCUGUCCAAGGUCAUCGGACACGUCGUGUUAUUUACACGGCGGCGGUCGGUGUAAUCACGACGAGUGGUCCGGCACCGGAAACGGUAAUAAUAUUAAUAAUAAUAACAGUUGCACCGUCGCCGGAAAUGACGACUGUAAAGCCGCCGCCCGGAACAGCGAACCGCCGGGUCAAAACGACGGAUGUUCGCCGGCCUGGGGAACCCAGAACGGCGGCCGAUUGUCCCCGCUGAGGCUGACGACGUCCGGUCGGUACCGGAAAGUCGCGCAGUCCGGUCGGCCGACGCUGUCCAGGAUACCGGUGCCCUGUCUCGGCCGGCCCGAACCGCCCGCGAGACAGGAUCGGCCGGUGGACCUGUACGCCGGUUCCAGGCUGCCCGUGCCCGUUCGACCGGGACCGGCUCCGGCGCGGAUUCCUCGGAUCGGCCGGAACUGUGACGCUCGGCCGUCGCUGUCGCGUGACGACGACCGAAAUUACCACACCGCCGUCGACGACGCGGACCCGGUGGUUGUGACGACCGUCUGUGACCCGACUGGGCCGAUUGACACUGACGACGACUUGCUCGAUAGUCAUCUGGGCGACGACGACGCGGACCCGGUGGUUGUGACGACCGUCUGUGACCCGACUGGGCCGACUGACACUGACGACGACGUCUUGCUCGACAGUCACCUGAGCGACGAUGAUAAUAUGGCGACGGUGGUCGUUGUCGGACAGCCGGGCGUGUGCGUCGACGAGUCGGCCGAGUGUGUGGACGAGUCGACCGAGUGCACGACGUCCGAACGGUGGCUACUACCUCUGGCGCUCGAAGAUAUCAGCUCGACGGGUUCGCGACCGCUGACCGUCGCGAGUUUCGAUGACGACGGCUGCAGUUUACUGGAAGGCUGUCGGUCCGGCGACCGCGACAGUCUGUCAGACCUAAACCAGUCCGUCGACUCGUGCGUUUUGCCGAUUCCCGACGACCUGACGACGUGACACUUCCGACUGGAAGACGGCGACGGCUCGCAGCUGUAUCAUACAAUAUUCAUAAUAUUAUAUAUUAUAGAUCUUGAAAUGGUUCAAAAUUGUAAGUCUAAAGAUCAGCACAGCAACAUACCGAUAGAAAAUAUUCUAUUUAAUUUAGCUUUGUUUAUUUAUACUGUUAUAUAGACAAAUAGGUUGCAGUGAGUUAUUUGUUAGUAAUUUUAAUGUUUUAUCACAAAAAAAAAAUAGUAUGCAUUUGUCUGUAAUAACCUAUAACAUGAACUACCAAAAAUAAUCUGUCUAUAUAAUAUUGAUUUAAUAAAAUAUAUUAUCAAACCUCUCU